UACGAGGGGGGCAAGCGUUGUUCGGAAUUACUGGGCGUAAAGGGCUCGUAGGCGGCCAACUAAGUCAGACGUGAAAUCCCUCGGCUUAACCGGGGAACUGCAUCUGAUACUGGAUGGCUUGAGUUCGGGAGAGGGAUGCGGAAUUCCAGGUGUAGCGGUGAAAUGCGUAGAUAUCUGGAGGAACACCGGUGGCGAAGGCGGCAUCCUGGACCGACACUGACGCUGAGGAGCGAAAGCCGGGGGAGCAAACGGG
rnacentral:rRNA from 1 species